UACGGAGGGGGCAAGCGUUGUUCGGAAUUACUGGGCGUAAAGGGCGCGCAGGCGGCUGCUCAAGUCAGGCGUGAAAGCCUGGGCUCAACCCGGGGGCUGCGCCCGAGACGGCGGGGCUGGAGGUCGGGAGAGGCUCGCGGAAUUCCCAGUGUAGAGGUGAAAUUCGUAGAUAUUGGGAAGAACACCGGUGGCGAAGGCGGCGAGCUGGCCCGCACCUGACGCUGAGGCGCGACAGCGUGGGGAGCAAACAGG
rnacentral:rRNA from 1 species